UCUGAGGAAAAAAAAUUGAGACUCAGAGAGUUUAUGUGAUUUGCCAAAACUUGCACAGCCAGCAGCAAAGGACAGAAACAUGAUGGGACGCCGGUUCCUCGACUCCCAGAAAAGCUAUCUACUUAUGCUUUCCCAGGCUGAAUAGUUCCAUGGGAGUGGCAUUCUAUCCUACACCAAGCUGACUGUACCUGCCAUUACAUUGGGAAUAUAUUUGCUACAUCUGAGUGGUAGAAGAAAGGUCCAUGUUAUGGAGAACUCAGUAAUAGAGCAGCUACAUAAAACUAUGGAAUUGGGAUUAGAUUUAUGGAACUUGGUGGAACCAGUUUGGGGGACAAAGAUCUUCUAUUCAAAUCUUGAUCCUUAUUUGAGCCUGGCCUUGAACAAAAUUACUUUGCAUCCCUGGAUCUUAGGUUUGUCAGCUGAAAAAUGGCAGUAUUAGACUCAGUGAUCUCUCAGGUUCA